rnacentral:sRNA from 1 species
ACCAAGUAGAAGCAUACCCGCUUCUCACCUGUAGUGACGCUUUAAGCAGUUAGCAGGUAAAAAUAAACCUUUAAUGUUUAUGGAUAAGAGCGGGUGCAUUUAUGCAUUCGCUCUUUUUUUCU